rnacentral:rRNA from 1 species
GACGAAUGCUGGCUGCGUGCUUAACACAUGCAAGUCGAACGGUGAAGGAGGGCUUGCCCUCCGGAUCAGUGGCGAACGGGUGAGUUACACGUGGGCAACCUGCCCCUCACUCUGGGAUAACGCCGGGAAACCGGCGCUAAUACCGGAUACGACCAGGCGCGACAUCUCGCCUGGUGGAAAGAAUUUCGGUGAGGGAUGGGCCCGCGGCCUAUCAGCAUGUUGGUGGGGUAACGGCCCACCAAGGCGACGACGGGUAGCCGGCCUGAGAGGGCGACCGGCCACAGAGGGACUGAGACACGGGCCAGACUCCUAGGGGAGGCAGCAGUGGGGAAUAUUGCGCAAGGGGCGAAAGCCUGACGCAGCGACGCAGCGUGAGGGACGAAGGCCUUCGGGUUGUAAACCUCUUUCAGCGGGGACGAAGCGAAAGUGACGGUACCCGCAGAAGAAGCACCGGCUAACUACGUGCCAGCCGCCGCGGUAAAAC